rnacentral:rRNA from 1 species
GAUGAACGCUGGCGGCGUGCCUAAUACAUGCAAGUCGAGCGAACAGACGAGGAGCUUGCUCCUCUCACGUUAGGGGCGGACGGGUGAGUAACACGUGGAUAACCUCCCUAUAUGACUGGGAUAACUUCGAGAAACCGGCGCUAAUACCGGAUAAUAUAUUGAACCGCAUGGUUCAAUAGUGAAAGACGGUUUUGCUGUCACUUAUAGCUGGAUCCGAGCCGCAUUAGCUAGUUGGUAAGGUAACGGCUUACUAAGGCAACGAUGCGUAGCCGACCUGAGAGGGUGAUCGGCCACACUGGAACUGAGACACGGUCCAGACUACUACGGGAGGCAGCAGUAGGGAAUCUUCCGCAAUGGGCGAAAGCUUGACGGAGCAACGCCGCGUGAGUGAUGAAGGUCUUCGGAUCGUAAAACUCUGUUAUUAGGGAAGAACAAAUGUGUAAGUAACUAUGCACGUCUUGACGGUACCUAAUCAGAAAGCCACGGCUAACUACGUG